UACUUUAUACUUUUAGGGAUCAUUUCUAUAAUUCUUGAGUGAGAAGUUUCUCUGGAGGUAUAGAGUACUGGAAACCAUGACCAGGAAGUACAGCUUUCUCUCCAGAGCACAAAGCUGUCUUGGCAUUGCUUCAUGGGAACUGCCAUUUGGCUUUCUUUUUAUUUUUAUUUUUUGAGAUAGGGUGUCACUCUGUUGUCCAGGCUGGAGUGCAGUGGU